GAUGAACGCUGGCGGCGUGCUUAACACAUGCAAGUCGAACGAUGAAGCCCAGCUUGCUGGGUGGAUUAGUGGCGAACGGGUGAGUAACACGUGAGUAACCUGCCCUUGACUCUGGGAUAAGCCUGGGAAACUGGGUCUAAUACUGGAUAUGACUUCUCAUCGCAUGGUGGGGGGUGGAAAGAUUUAUUGGUCUUGGAUGGACUCGCGGCCUAUCAGCUUGUUGGUGAGGUAAUGGCUCACCAAGGCGACGACGGGUAGCCGGCCUAAGAGGGUGACCGGCCACACUGGGACUGAGACACGGCCCAGACUCCUACGGGAGGCAGCAGUGGGGAAUAUUGCACAAUGGGCGCAAGCCUGAUGCAGCGACGCCGCGUGAGGGAUGACGGCCUUCGGGUUGUAAACCUCUUUCAGUAGGGAAGAAGCGAGAGUGACGGUACCUGCAGAAGAAGCGCCGGCUAACUACGU
rnacentral:rRNA from 1 species